GCUUCCUUAGCUCAGUUGGUAGAGUGCUGCACUGUUAAUGCAAGGGUCGCUGGUUCGAGUCCAGCAGGAAGCGCCA
rnacentral:tRNA from 1 species